rnacentral:tRNA from 1 species
CCCAGGGUAGCCAAGCGGCCUAAGGCAACGGUCUGUAAAACCGUGUAUCGGUGGUUCGAAUCCACCCCCUGGGACCA